rnacentral:tRNA from 1 species
CUCAGCGGCAGCACCAGAAUGCCCAGCAGGACGCCGCCGCGCCGCAGGCCGGCCGUCAGCGCGACGCCCGGCGCGGC